GUUGAGUUGAGUUGAGAGAGAGAGAGAGUAGAAAUAUUUCUCUAGUUUUGAGAGAAUUUUGAUGCUGAUUUUGUGUUUGAGAGACCGAAAAGUGUCGGUUGCUACUUUCCUCCUUAGCCCAGUAUUUUGAAAUUUUGUUCUGGCAGUGAUUUUUGUUUUUCCCUUUCCCUUUUCUUUUGGUAAAAGUAUCUGACAUGGAUAUAUGUCGAAGUGUCUGAUUCAUCCAAAAGUCAAAACAUAGGACACAUGGACACACAUUCAAAUGGGGUACGUUAUGUACGAUAACAAUGAUGAACAUAUGAUAUUGAUUUCUUGUCAUAAUCAUUAUUGCCUUUGUCAUGAUGCCA
rnacentral:misc_RNA from 1 species